rnacentral:misc_RNA from 1 species
CAACCCUCGAGAACCCCUUCGCGGGGGGAUCGGUGUUGGGGAUCGACCGCCCUCAGCGGCGGACGUCCCCUAAAACUAGUGGCGGUCUCGCUGUAGCCUCCUCUGCGCAGUAGCUCUGUAUUCUCGCAGCCUGGAGAGCGGCGCGGCCACGCCGUAAAACCACAACUUUUUCAA